rnacentral:tRNA from 1 species
GUUUUAAUAGUUUAAAAAAAAACAUUGAUGUUGUAAAUCAAAAUUAAAUAUAAUUUUUUUAAAACU